CGUUCGUGUACAUGUUGGAUUACCUUUUUUUUCUCAUCAAUUUACACGAGUAAACGUGUAAGGGUCGUGCAGCUUAAGAUACUAUUUUUGUUCAAAAUCAUUGUAUUCUACUGAAUAUGCCACCAAAAUGAUAUAGAUCGCCAAUCCCAGCAUGACCAAUAUCUCUCAUUCCAUCUUCUUAGAGAACCUUGGUGACCUUAGAUCAUAAGUGAUUGGUGGUUUCAUGUGUACUACAGGUUUCUUAAUUUGCAUGGCAGACUUUAUGAUGGUCCUUUUUUCUAUUACAUGAUGUCAUUUAAAGAAAAAGGACAAAGUGACUAUACAGUCAACAAGGUCCCUUGUUCAGUAACACAUUGGCUGCUACCUUUCUUGAUUUGAGGGUAACUCUUUCGCUACUGAUCACAUCAACUGUUGUAAACUGAUGAGAGAAUGCUGCAAUUCAAGACUGAUACAU